ACAACGACGUUUCGCUAUAUGAUGGUGAAACUGAUGGCAAUCAAGUUUAAGUGGCUUGAGUUUUUUCCGGUACCCUAAGAUAAGCAUUGCUAGUGUGUACAGAUGAUCCAUGCCUUCUCUAUUUAUUUGAAAGUGAACCCAAAGAUCGUGACGUCAACAAUCCAGUUGACAUUAGAUUCUUGCACUUAUAAGGCUGUAUAAAAAAUCGAACUCCCCUCCUUGAGAUUAUUCUCCUUCUUUGGUGCUUGAUUCAAUGUACUCAUAUCCUUAACCUAAUGUGACUUUGAUUUGAUUUUCCAGCAGAACCUUUAUAUUAUAUAUAAACCUACCAAAGGCCUUUCCGUAUGAAAUUUUAGAGCUCUGGCUUUGUUAUUGUUCAGUUGUAUGUGGUUCAAUUGCAGGUAACCUUUUGUCUCUUCAGAUGAGGUAUUCAA